GUACAUAUAUUAAUACGAGUAUAAUAUUAUAGCCGUAGCACUUGUACAUACCCCGCAGCUAUAUAAUACACAUUUUAUACGGAAUGCGUUCGGUAUAAUAAUUGUCGCGGCAUAACCGUAAAGCGGUCGACUAGCAGUGUUGUUGUCGUGGUUUUAUAAGGAUCGUUGUCCCUAAUGUUCGCUAAUGCUCGCGUCAUUAGACGUUUUCCGCGAACCCGAAUAUCCGAUAAUUGAAUUUCCGCUAACGGACCGGAAGUACUGCGCGGCUAUUAUGUAUACUCGCCGGGGCGAUAAAACAGAUUGCAAGUGGUUCGUUUCAACGUACGUACCUACGCCGCGCUGCAAGCUCUGCAAACGGUCGCGUAUAUUCUGAUGUUAUACGGCGAACGAAGAACGACUGCAUAAAAAACAAAAAAAAACAAAAACGCCCGUCACUAUAGAAUCGGAUUUUCACCCCGUCGCUUUGUUGCCAUUAUACAGUCAAAAUAGUUUCGGAAGCAUGAGCUCAUUAUUAUAAUGUUAUAUAUAUAUACGUAUUUUAAAAUAGACAUUAUUAAACAUUUUGAAUGCAUUCGAAUGAUCUAAAUUAACAUUAAGGGUGAAAUAAUUUCCAAAAAUAAUAUAACGGAGUUUGAAAAAUAUAAUAACAAUAUUACUAGAGGGGUUUACCGGGUCCGCAUGAUUUGCAGUUUUACUUAAUUUAGGAAAUAGUCAGUGGGGUCGUUUUCCUAGACAAACCCUCAAAACUAUCAAAAGGCACAUCCUUGUCACGAAAUACAACUCUGAGUGAAGUGCAUGUUAUACAUGUUUUGAAAUGCCGUAAUAGUUACGAUUUUUAUUAAAAUUUGAUCUUAAGACCAUUAUAAAAAACUUACUAGACUACGCUUAACUUUUAUUCAUCACUAAG